AUCCACAGACAGCAUGAUGUUUAAAUACUGUAUCUCUCUCUCUGGGCCGUAGGAGCUGGCCUCCAUCCACAGACAGCAUCAUGUUUAAAUACUGUAUCUCUCUCUCUGGGCCGUAGGAGCUGGCCUCCAUCCACAGACACAGCAUCAUGUUUAAAUACUGUAUCUCUCUCUCUCUGGGCCGUAGGAGCUGGCCUCCAUCCACAGACGGCAGCAGCUGGUCAGAGAGGCUCUGAUGGGGAAGAGUCCCAGAGCCUACACCCAGCUCUUCAAGAGGUGUGUUCACACAGCUCCAUCAUCAUUGGCCUCUCAGACACAGCGGGACCCCACCCUCUCAUCCCCCAUGAUGCCUAGAGCCAGCCAUGACGGACAACACAACCACUCAGAGAAUAACAGCUCUGAUGACUCCCGUGCUAGUUCUGGCCUGUCCAUUCCCAGCUCAGCAGGGGCCUUCUCAGAGACAGCAGGGCCAGCCGGGUGUUCAGACCUGGGCUUGGACACCACCGUGGAGCCCCUGGAUGUCUCCCCUCUGGGACACAACCUGGACAUGCUGAAAGAUCAAGUAGAAUCUGGCCACACUCCUGAUGCCCCUCGCCACGGCUCCGAGCUUCUCUCUCAGGGCGCCACCACGGCACGCCCAGGCUCCAACGCCAAACCCAUCCUGCCACCUAUCCUGUCCGGACGCAAGACCCUCGGACCCAGCCCUAGCCCCAAACCCUGAGACAGGAGAGAGAGGGAGAGGAGGAGGGUGUAGAGGUACAGGAGAGAGAGGGAGAGGAGGAGUGUAGAGGUACAGGAGAGAUGAGGAGGAGUAAAGAGGUACCGAAAAGAGAGAGAGGAGGAGUGAAGAGGUACAGGAGAGAUGAGGAGGAGUAAAGAGGUACCGAAAAGAGAGAGAGGAGGAGUGAAGAGGUACAGAAAAGAGGAAGAGGAGGAGUGAAGAGGUACAGAAGAGAGGUAGAGGAGGAGUGAAGAGGUACAGAAGAGAGGAAGAGUGAAGAGGUACAAAAGAGAGAGAGAGGAGGAGGAGUGAAGAGGUACAGAAAAGAGGAAGAGGAGGAGUGAAGAGGUACAGAAGAGAGGUAGAGGAGGAGUGAAGAGGUACAGAAGAGAGGAAGAGUGAAGAGGUACAGAAGAGAGGGAGAGGAGGAGGAGUGAAGAGGUACAGAAAAGAGGUAGAGGAGGAGUGAAGAGGUACAGAAGAGAGGGAGAGGAGGAGUGAAAAGGUACAUGGGAGAGGAGGAGUGAAGAGGUACAGAAGAGAGGGAGAGGAGGAGUGAAAAGGUACAUGGGAGAGGAGGAGUGAAGAGGUACAGAAGAGAGGGAGAGUAGGAGUGAAAAGGUACAUGGGAGAGGGAGGGACAAGUAGAUGCUCUUAAGAGUUGAAAGGUCACACACAGAUUGAACAAUGAUGGACACAUUCACCUGACUUUUCUGAAUAAAGAUGUACCUGUGUGUUAUCUGGUCCAGAUGGAGUCAUUCAUUCACUAAUAAUAUAGUCACAGGAUAGAAUAAUUGGAAUGUAAGGACAUUACACCAAAUAUAAUGAUUCCCUGCUUCAACUUGACUCAAACCGAAACAUACAUUAUAAUACAUUUAGUCAAUGGCAUGUGCCAAACUCUUGACUUCUCAGUCUUGCUAUUGGGCUCCCGAGUGGUGCAGCGAUCACUGCAUCUCAGUGCUAGAGGCGUCACUACAGACCCUGGUUCGAUUCCAGGCUGUAUCACAACCGGCCGUGAUUGGGAGUCCCAUAGGGCGGCGCACAAUUGGCCCAGCGUCGUUAGGGUUUGGCUGGAGUAGGCCAUCAUUGUAAGUAAGAAUUUGUUCUUAACUGUCUUGCCUAGUUUAAUAAAGGUUAAAAAAAUAAAAUAUUGACUACAUAAUCUAUUGUUGUUGCUAUAACCUGUACUGCAAUGCAGAAAGAUAUCCUGGACAGUCACUCAUUAAUAAAGAUGAUUACAGUAUAAUAAGAGAGAUAAUUGAGCCGUUCUUCAAUUGCUGCCAAAGGGUGAGUUAUCUGUGUGUUCUGUUGUAGGGCAGGGCUGGGUAUCUACUGUAUAAGGGUGAGUUAUCUGUGUGUUCUGUUGUAGGGCAGGGCUGGGUAUCUACUGUAUAAGGGUGAGUUAUCUGUGUGUUCUGUUGUAGGGCAGGGCUGGGUAUCUACUGUAUAAGGGUGAGUUAUCUGUGUGUUCUGUUGUAGGGCAGGGCUGGGUAUCUACUGUAUAAGGGUGAGUUAUCUGUGUGUUCUGUUUUAGGGCAGGGCUGGGUAUCUACUGUAUAAGGGUGAGUUAUCUGUGUGUUCUGUUGUAGGGCAGGGCUGGGUAUCUACUGUAUAAGGGUGAGUUAUCUGUGUGUUCUGUUGUAGGGCUGGGCUGGGUAUCUACUGUACAAGGGUGAGUUAUCUGUGUGCUCUGUUGUAGGGCUGGAUAUCUACUGCAUAAUGUGCCUUAAGGUUCCCACUGUAGUAGAGAGCUGAUUCACCUAACCUAACCUAGCCAUGCUUAGAUACAGCCCCUUCACACACACACAACCCCUUCACACACACACCAAAGAGGUCUGUCCCCAUGUUAUCUCUUAGCCCUUCAUCUAGUAUCACCACAUUCAGAGUAGUGAUAUGGUAUCAUUUCCACUGACUCAGGGGUGAUUAGAACUCUGACUGUGUAAUAAUCUCAUCAAAUUGAAAAUGCUGCUAUUAUCUGGUCUUUUAUGUGUCUGUUGUCAGGGUAAUAAACAGU
rnacentral:lncRNA from 1 species